UCUCCUGUAUAGGAGUUACGAUAUCGCCCUUUGCAGAAAUGGAUGCGGAGCCGGUUCCCUCACAUAAUGGGAAAGCAAAGAAGAUGAAGUCCUCCAGAACUAACAGAGACGAUAAAUUUUUCAAACAUUAAAAUAUUUUUAAGCUU